UCCUUGUCCUGGGUUGUGACCUGGGAGAAAAAAAAAUGUUCCAAAAGUAUACAACACCUGGCUGAUGUACACAGCAUCAACAGGGCAUUUCAUGUUGUGUUAUCAAGAAACCUAGUGCCCAAAAAAUAAAAAGUGGAAGCUAACUGACUUGAUUGCUUACAAAGAAAAAUGUCAUUUCAUUUCUUCUACUUCAUUCAUUUUGGGGAAAGAAAGCCCACUGGUUCCUCUGGUUCAAGACUAUCAGCACAGACUGGCAAUGGCUUUCCAGAGUUUCAGGCAGGAUUCUUUCACAGCCCUACCUGGAGAUGACCCUUAAUGGCCCUUCGGCCUUCUGCACGCAGAGCAGGUACUCUGUUGCCGAGCUAUGGCCUGCUACAUCACAUGCUCCUGGUAUGUUGCCACAUACCUAAAGUAACAUCUAGUAUAUGGGUGCCAAGCAGAUGUCCACCCAGGCACCUGAUCUGUGAUCAGCCUCGGCUGGUGGAACAUCUGACCUUGGGGAAAUGCCAGUUCUGUGGGGAAGAAUCAUACCAACACCUCUUACAACACAUUCUUCCAGUGAUGUGGGCACUGCUCCCAGGCAAAUCCAAAGGAUGAAAGGAAAUGGCGUCUAACCCAGGAAAAGCAGAGAGUUGUUGUCUAUCUGGGGCAAAAGGAGGAGAAAUCAGCUGAGCAGGAAAUUCUGAAGAUGGCCAUCAAUUCAAAUUUGUGGGAAGUUCAUCAAUGCUAUAAAGAAAACAACACAAGAGGGACAGAUCUUGUUUUGCUUUGCUGCUUUGACAGUCCAGAGCAGUCAGUUGUGGAAAGAGGCCGAGCACUCCCACCACAUCACUGGAGUGUGUGCUCAUUUAGCCCUUGAACUCCUUCAUUGGCAGCAAUGCAACUUCCUUCCCUUCUUCUCCCCCAUGCAGAAGAAUGAAUGCGAUGCCGUUCCGUAACCCUGCCACCUCCCCCUUUUGAGCGUCUUCCAUGAUUGCUGUCUGGUGCUUUAAUGCACAUCUUUCAACUACCCUAGAAGAAAGAAAAUAAUAUUAUGAAUAUGCUUUCAGCAUGGCUCCCCAUCAGCCACCCCUGUUGGUCCAUGAUCACUAAGUUCCUUAGCUGAGAUGGGAAAUGGUUCUAUUGGCACUGGCUGGAGCUGUUAAGGAUUGUUAAGGAUUUAGUGCGCUGGAAAGGCCCUUAUAGAGGGCAAUGCAAAAAGUGCUGUGUGUAUCAGGUAUACCAGGAGUACAUCAUAUUCCCAGCCAGAAGGAAGCCCAUCUCUGUUUUUCCACAUUUGUUCACACUCAUCUCAUUACCUUUUGUUCUGUCCUAACACCUUUUCUUCUUUUUUCUUUGUCAUCUUCCUCCUGUCAAAGUCUGGACUGUAAGUAAGUGGGGACAGGAGAAAACUAAGUUUGCAUCUGAUUACGGUUUGCCAAAAUUCACAAAGAUUUUCACAUUCAGGAGGGAAAGAACUUGAGAUUUUAAAAUGCAGGAGAAAGUGAAAUUAGUACAAUCAUUCAUUUGGAAUUGUAAUCUGCUUGGAGCCUGGACAGUUUUCUUUUAUGCUUCUUACUUUAAGAUGUGUAAUGCUAUGUACAUUGAUGAUUCCAUAAUAAGAAUAAUGAAUAAACAACCUGUUUAUAGAG